GCAUGCUUGACACCUGUUGGACAUAAGCAAGGGGUGUACAUGGUGUUAAAAAAAUCGAGAAGGGAGGGAUUACUUUUCUUCAUUUCAUCUUCCCUGAUAAUUUUUGAAACAAGACGAUUGAGAUCAUACUUAGGGAAAUUUGUGAAAAUUUGAUUAGUGUUCUUGGUUUGUUUCAUGAAGGAAAUCAACUUCGUACUGUGUAAAUUGAAUUCAAGAACCCCAAGAUCAAAAAACGGGCCUAUGCCUAGCAUCAAAAAAAAAAAAGAACCCCAAGAUCAAAGAUUUCGUAGAAUAGAUCUAAUGGACUAGCAACAGAGCUUGGAAAUUGCAUAAAUAUGAUGCUGUCUAUAUAAUAUCUAAAGAUGCAAAAGAGUAUGAAUUGAAGUGUUAUUUGAAAGCUUGUACCGAAAUUAGACGGGCAGUCCCGGUGCUGUGCUUAGUGUGUGAGCUUAUUUAUCAUUUGCUUUAGCCAUUGCUGAUACCAGAAAGUUGCACAUAAAAUCAUUUUUAUGAGUAUCUAUGGAGUAGAUACUGGAUAGUAUGAUGCGAAUACAUUAUGUGAGUAGUAAUUGCCUUAAAUAAUGUUUUAAGGAUUAUAUUGGAGUUUACUGAAUGAUUUUUAUUUAAAUGCA